UUAACUAUUAUAUAGUACUCAGACGACACAUAAACAGGUUUUGGUUGGGUCUCUGGCGGGCACUCACAAGCCGAAGCCUGUGGCAAGAUGCGUCCCGCCAAAGCAACAAGAGAAUAGAUAUCAAGGGUGGGAGAUCUACCCGUAAGGGCAAGAACUCUGUAAUGAUCCUUCCGCAGGUUCACCUACGGAAA
rnacentral:misc_RNA from 1 species